rnacentral:rRNA from 1 species
GUGGGGAAUAUUGGGCAAUGGGCGCAAGCCUGACCCAGCAACGCCGCGUGAAGGAAGAAGGUCUUCGGAUUGUAAACUUCUGUCAUUGGGGACGAAGGAAGUGACGGUACCCAAUGAGGAAGCCCCGGCUAACUACGUGCCAGCAGCCGCGGUAAUACGUAGGGGGCGAGCGUUGUCCGGAAUUACUGGGCGUAAAGGGUGCGUAGGCGGCGAUGCAAGUCCAUUGUGAAAAGCCCGGGCUUAACCUGGGAGGUGCAGUGGAAACUGCAUGGCUUGAGUGCAGGAGAGGAAAGUGGAAUUCCUAGUGUAGCGGUGAAAUGCGUAGAUAUUAGGAGGAACACCAGUGGCGAAGGCGGCUUUCUGGACUGUAACUGACGCUGAGGCACGAAAGCGUGGGGAGCAAACAGGAUUAGAUACCCCAGUAGUCC